GGAAUCUUAGCUCAGUGGUACGAGCGAAGGAUUGCAGUAAACCCCAUUGCCGACUAUCCUUAGGUCGCCGGUUCGAUCCCGGCAGGUUCCU